rnacentral:rRNA from 1 species
ACCCCAGAAAGACUAUCUGGUUGAUAGGUCGAAGGUGUAAGUGCAGCAAUGUAUUUAGCUUAUCGAUACUAAUAGGUCGAGGACUUGACCAAUAUU